UACGUAGGGCGCAAGCGUUGUCCGGAAUUAUUGGGCGUAAAGAGCUCGUAGGCGGUUUGUCGCGUCUGCUGUGAAAACGCGAGGCUCAACCUCGCGCCUGCAGUGGGUACGGGCAGACUAGAGUGCGGUAGGGGAGAUUGGAAUUCCUGGUGUAGCGGUGAAAUGCGCAGAUAUCAGGAAGAACACCCGUGGCUAAGGCGGCUCUCUAGUACGGUACUGACGCUGAGACGCGAAAGCGUGGGGAGCGAACAGG
rnacentral:rRNA from 1 species